CCGGAGGAAGCACCGGCUAACUCCGUGCCAGCAGCCGCGGUAAUACGGAGGGUGCAAGCGUUGUUCGGAAUUACUGGGCGUAAAGCGCGUGUAGGCGGUCGGGCAAGUCAGAUGUGAAAGCCUUCCGCUUAACUGAAGAAGUGCAUUUGAAACUUCCCGGCUUGAGUUCGGGAGAGGAGAGUGGAAUUCCCGGUGUAGAGCUGA
rnacentral:rRNA from 1 species